rnacentral:lncRNA from 1 species
CUCUCUGCCUCACACUCACAUGAACCCUGCGCUGCUUCCACACGAAUCGAGCACUCUGCCUCAUACAAACCCUAGUGAUGUCUGACUCCCACGAACCCUAGUGCUUGCUGCUUCCACACGAACCUAGGGCUCUCUGCCUCACACGAACCCUAGCCAUGCCUGCCUCACACGAACUCUGCCUCCAUACGAACCCUAGCGCUCUCUGCCUCACAAAACCCUACUCUCUCUGCCUCUACACGGAACCGAUUUGAAGGUAAUUUGAUGUUUAGGAUUUGUCAUGUGAUUCUAUUUGUGUAUUUCAUUAUGUGUUUCAUCUUUUUACUAGGUAGCUAAAGAGAAAUUGAAGAAAUUUAUCACAGAGGCGGCAGGGGAGAAAGAGUUUCCUGACUCGAGUUCUGAUUUUCGAGCAAUUAAAGCAAGUUAUCACAGAGGCAGGUGAGAGAAUUCUAAAACUCAUUUUUUGUUCCAAUCCUGCUGAAACUGCUUUUCUGUAUCCAAGGGUCUUUGUUGAGUGAGGAGAAUGGUCUGUUUUCUUACAUGGUUCAUAGGUGAAGCUUGCCCAUUCACGUAUGAGUAAAAGAAUGACACUGCAUCGUCUUGACAUUGUUGAAUCUGAUUUGUUGAGAAAGCCAUUUGGCGGUCUGCAACAACCAUUUGCCCUUUCCAGGUUUCAGCCUUGAGGACAAGGCUAACUCUAUUGGGCAGGGAAUUGAUAUCCCACUCAGGUCCAUAGUUGUAAACCUAAGAAUAAAAAGUAGGAUUGAUUGUUUAGUGGUUCUGUUUAGGUGUAUUUCUGUUUCAAUUAGUAGAGAAGGAGUAUUUGGAGAAUGGUCGAUUCUGUUAGAGGGGAGUGGGGUUGGUCUUUUUCCUUUGGAAAAAUGUUGAGAUCAUCCUGGGGGAUUCAUC